UGGCUCAGUAGGUAGAGCAUGGUGUUUGUAACGCCAGCAUGGUGUGUGCAACGCCAGGGUUGUGGGUUCGAUUCCCAC
rnacentral:tRNA from 1 species